CCCCAUUAAUAUCUGUAUCACUCCCACACAUGAAAUCUGUAUGCUAAUACCGUAUUUGUUAUUCGCAGGAUGUGAAUUCCCUUCUGCUUUUUCAUGGUGCUGAGAGUAUGCCCGAGAAUAACAAGAGGUUGAGCCUGUUCAGAGAAAGAGUAACCAGACACCACGAGGCUCAUGGAAGCCCUUGUUAUUUAGCAAUGGAGUAG
rnacentral:lncRNA from 1 species